AUGGCCAAGGAGACGGUGCUUCUCGUCCUUGCUUUCGCCGCCGCCGCCGCCUUCCUGUGCUCGUGCCCCGCCGUCGCCUCCGCUCGGAAGGUGAGCGAGACGUGCGCGCUGUCGCGGAACUGCGACGCCGGGCUGCACUGCGAGACGUGCGUGGUGGACGGCAACGUGCGGCCGCGCUGCACCCGCGUGACCCCCGUCGACCCGCAGAGCAAGGACCGGGGGCUGCCGUUCAACCGCUACGCGUGGCUGACGACCCACAACUCCUUCGCGCGGCUGGGCACCCAGUCCCAGACCGGGACGGCCAUCGUCACGGCGUUUAACCAGCAGGACACCAUCGCCGAGCAGCUCAACAACGGCGUGAGGGGGCUGAUGCUGGACAUGUACGACUUCCGGAACGACAUAUGGCUCUGUCACUCCUACGGCGGCGCCUGCCGAAACUUCACCGCAUUCACGCCGGCCGUGAACGUGCUCCGGGAGAUCGAGGCGUUCCUGAGGAGGAACCCCUCCGAGGUGAUCACGAUCUUCAUCGAGGACUACGUGGAGGCGCCCAUGGGGCUCACCCGGGUGUUCAACGCCUCCGGCCUGACGCCCUUCCUGUUCCCGGUGUGGCGCAUGCCCAAGAACGGCGGCGACUGGCCGCUGCUAAGCGACAUGGUCCGCGACAACCACCGCCUCCUCGUCUUCACCUCCAGGUCCGCCAAGGAGGCCGCCGAGGGCUUCGCACACGAGUGGGGCUACGUCGUCGAGAAUCAGUAUGGGAGCAAAGGGAUGGUGAAGGGGUCGUGCCCGAACCGCGCCGAGUCGGCCGCCAUGAACGACCUGUCGAGGUCGCUGGUGCUGGUGAACUACUUCCGGGACCUCCCAAACUUCCCGGAGGCGUGCAAGGACAACUCGGCGCAGCUGCUGGGCAUGCUCGACACCUGCCACGCCGCGUCCGGGGACAGAUGGCCCAACUUCAUCGCCGUCGACUUCUACAAGAGAAGCGACGGAGGCGGCGCCGCGGAAGCCACGGACAAGGCCAACGGCGGGCUGGUUUGUGGAUGCGGAAGCAUAGCUGCCUGCAACAGUAAUGGUACAUGCUCGCCGCGCCGGCGCGGGAGCACGCCGAAAGGCAUCUUCAACAAGACCUCAGAUGCCGCGUCGUGGCAGCCGCCGGCCAUGCUGCAUUGGCAGCAACUGAUGCUGCCGACCACCUUCCUUGCUCUACUAUUAUGCUUGUAG
rnacentral:rRNA from 1 species